GGGGCGGUGGGAUUCGUUGCUUCGGAUCUUAGGGUAUUUUCUUUGACCGGUUAGCUCUUUUUCAUUCUUCGAUGGUUACCCCGACUUUCUUGCCAGCUUGUUUAGAUUUNGUAUUCAUGUCGGUCGAGUCUUGNUUUGCUUUGCUUUGAUUGCAGAUUUGCGAUUAAGCCAAAACGUUUACCUGCGAUGUCGGUUGAGCUUUGCUUGGCUUUUGGUUGCAGANUGCGGUUUGGGUUAAGCGUUUACGAGCGANGUUGGUUGAGCUUUGCUUGAUUUGGACAUGUGAAUCUACGUAGGCUAACGUUGUUGACCCGUGUCGGUUUUUCCCCCUCGAAAAUGUUUUAUUAGUGACCGUUUGGUAAAUACUCGCAAGAGAUGAUCCAUCGUUGCUCCGCCGCUUGGUUUCCUGACUUUCGUAUCGUUCGGUGCAUUUUGNGGCUGUUUUGGCUUUUGGUUGCUUGCUUGGCCUUUGAGCAGAGUGGGUGGCUAAUAGUCGGGGUGGCUUCGGGGAUGUUUACCGUAAAGGUGCAUGAGUGGUGUUUGGUUUGUUACGUGUGGUUGGCUGCGGCGUUUGCAACAACUUCCACGCUCUCAUACCUUUUCAGUAGUGCGACAAGGCUUGUAUCGCCUUGAGCGUCAGGUGGGUUUUCUGUGCUUAAUACCUAAUCUACGGUAUCGGUUGGAUAGUUAAAAUGUUGCUUUUCUCCUUGCGNUGCGUUUGCGGCGUGAGGUGAACCUAGUUGCCUUCUCUUUGAUCCACCNUGUUGAAGCGUAAGCUUCGAUAUUGUGGCACAUUGAGCAUUGCUUGGUUUCUUGUAUACGGAACAUAAAGUGGCCAUGGAUCUAACGAUUCUUGUUUUGCC
rnacentral:misc_RNA from 1 species